rnacentral:lncRNA from 1 species
AGAUUAGAAGCCCAGGACCCAGGAAGGAGACACAGGAAAUUUAUUCAAAGUCCCCACGCUGCAGUUCCAAGAGCCUCUGAGUUCCUGCCUUUUUUCAUCUCUGAAUCCCCACCAUUGGCCUACAUUGGGAGUGGGGCGACCUUUUACAUCAUCCUCGGCCGGGUUUUCCUGCUCUCUGCAGUUUUCUUGGCUUUCGUCACCACCUUCAUCAUGAUGCCCUUUGCAUCCGAGUUCUUCCCGAGGACCUGGAAGCAAAACUUUGUGUUAGCCUGCAUCAGCUUCUUCACAGGGGCCUGUGCCUUCCUGGCUUUGGUGCUGCAUGCCCUGGAGAUCAAGGCUCUGAGGAUGACGCUCGGCCCCCUGCAGUUC